rnacentral:rRNA from 1 species
GAUGAACGCUGGCGGCGUGCUUAACACAUGCAAGUCGAACGAUGAAGCCCAGCUUGCUGGGUGGAUUAUUGGCGAACGGGUGAGUAACACGUGAGUAACCUGCCCUUAACUCUGGGAUAAGCCUGGGAAACUGGGUCUAAUACCGGAUAGGAGCGUCCACCGCAUGGUGGGUGUUGGAAAGAUUUAUCGGUUUUGGAUGGACUCGCGGCCUAUCAGUUUGUUGGUGAGGUAAUGGCUCACCAAGGCGACGACGGGUAGCCGGCCUGAUAGGGUGACCGGCCACACUGGGACUGAGACACGGCGCAGACUCCUACGGGAGGCAGCAGUGGGGAAUAUUGAACAAGGGGCGCAAGCCUGAUGCAGCGACGCCGCGUGAGGGAUGACGGCCUUCGGGUUGUAAACCUCUUUCAGUAGGGAAGAAGCGAAAGUGACGGUACCUGCAGAAGAAGCACCGGCUAACUACGUGCCAGCAGCCGCCGUAAAAC